ensembl:lncRNA
CACGUCCGAUCUGAUGUCACAUUGAUGGAAUUCAUGCAUUUAACCACCAGCUAACAUUUCAACUCAUUCAUUCAUGAUUAGCUAGUCGUUCCACUAGGUGGCACUCUAACCAUUAUGUACAAAUGGCAUAACAAACACUUCUGAACUCGAGUCUCAUUAUGCCUGCGACCUUUGGGUGAGAUUGGACAUUGUGUUUUUGAGUAACAGCAGAUUACUGCGUUUUGGCGAGUGAUUGAGAGCCUACGUGCCGCCAUAACCACCCCGUUUCCCUGAACGUAAAAAGCCUCGCAAUUUAACAACACAAAGGUCUUUGGAUUCCACACACUGAAGAAUAGUGCAAUCUGAUGAAAUCCCUUGGAGGAGUUCGUCAAAGAACGAUGCCUGAAAAGAGGGGAAAAUGUUGCCAAAAUUGCACAUUAAUUUUAAAAUGGCUGACUUCCUGUUGGAUUUGGGAUAUUGCUCCAAGAGACUUUUUUGUACAUCUUGAUAUCUCCUAUAAGCUUACCAGGUUUCAGACUCAUACAUAAAACACAGAGCAGGGGCUGUGAUUUUGAAAUUUUGUAGGGGGCGCUGUGGAGCCAUUUUGGGAUAUUCAAUGAAAAUGAUCACAUAACAACAAAGCCUUAACCACAUUGGAGGUGUGCGCCAAAUUUCAAGCCUCUAUAAACUUGCCAAGACCCUCAAAAGCCACUUCAUCUUUCAUGGUGAACAGCGUUGCCACCAGGGUGCGCCGUUCAGUUUAAAGUCACAAUUUUUGCACUGAAGCAUCACGAGGGACUGAUGGUGAUAUUCACCGCUUUUGAGGUGGCCACGAUGAACCUGUGAAAAUCAGUACAACAAAAUUAAAGCCAUGACAUUUCCUGUUGCCACUAGGUGGCGCUGUCCUUGAUGUCAAAUAUGGCAGUUGAAAUAUGUUCAGGGGUGGAGCCUUAUCAUAUGUGUGCUCUUUGGUCCAGAUUGGAACAUGUAUGACAGAAUGAGAGGCAAUAAGAUUUUCAUGGCGAGUCAUCGAAAUUCGCCAUGGCGCC